GAAACUAGCCAGUCCAUUGGGUAUGAAACCCAUUUGGGCGAGAGUAGUACUAGGAUGGGUGACCUCCCGGGAAGUCCUCGUGAAAGGGUUUCA
rfam:Triticum urartu cultivar G1812 contig106801, whole genome shotgun sequence.